rnacentral:rRNA from 2 species
CGCCUCUUGCAAAAACAAUGAAUAAGAGGUCCCGCCUGCCCUGUGACUAUGAGUUUAACGGCCGCGGUAUUUUGACCGUGCAAAGGUAGCGCAAUCACUUGUCCUUUAAAUGAGGACCUGUAUGAAUGGCACAACGAGGGCCAAACUGUCUCCUUUUUCAAGUCAAUGAAAUUGAUCUCCCCGUGCAGAAGCGGGGAUAAAAACAUAAGACGAGAAGACCCUAUGGAGCUUUAGAUAUAAAACAGCCCAUGUCAAGCCACAAUAUAAAAGAAAUAAACUAAAUGGCCUCUGUUUGAAUAUCUUUGGUUGGGGCGACCGCGGGGAAACAAAAAACCCCCAUGUGGAAUAAAAAUACCCUUUUUAGAACCAAGAGCCACCGCUCAAAUAAACAGAAUGUCUGACCAACCCGAUCCGGACCCUCCGAUCAACGAACCGAGUUACCCUAGGGAUAACAGCGCAAUCUUCUUUUAGAGUCCAUAUCGACAAGAAGGUUUACGACCUCGAUGUUGGAUCAGGACAUCCUAAUGGUGCAGCCGCUAUUAAGGGUUCGUUUGUUCAACGAUUAAAGUCCU